CUUGCUUGGAAUGCCAAGAACAAAAUUCCUUUUUUGGACAGAAUACAAGCCUUCCCUCAGGCCUUCUUCCUCAUGUUCCCCAUUCCUUCCAGGUCCUGGACAUCUAGGUCUGGGAUUCCUGCAACUCCAACCAACUGGUGAAGGAUUUAGAGUUCAAGGCAUCAGUUUUGAAAAAUCCAGGGUGGUUCAAGCUUUAAUGGCCUGAACAGGAAAUAAGUACUGAUUUUUUAACUGAGCCUGCAUAAACUACUCUAAAGGGAUGACUUUGUCAGUGAGAGACCUAAUUCUUUAUGAUCCUCCAGAGCAGGGCUCUGUGAAAGCAGGAACUGUGUGUCUUCAGCUUGCUGGGCACCUACAACUAGAACAGGAGUACGGCAAAUGUUCAACAAAUAUUCAUUGAAUCACUACAGAGGACCUAAGAAUAAUAACUAUAUUCAACAAGGGCACACUGGGAUAACAAGUCAUGUUACAGCUGAGGCCAAAGGAAGGGCACAGUUACCAGUCAAGCUGCAGAAUAGCCUCAUCUGGACUGAAGUAAAACUAUUUAGGAUGGAAAUAGUUGUAAUACCAACACAGGUGCAUUUUAACACAAAGAAAGUAUUUAAAAUUUAAUACGAUGGAAAUUAAUUAGAGGAGUUUUCAAGGAGAUUUUAAAAAGGGAGCAUGAUCUAUAUAGAUAAUUUGAUGUCACACUGUGAGAAGCUCAUUAAAUACAAAAUGGUAACUAAAUAAUAGUUUGAAAGCAAAAUGAGCAAAAAGGUUCUGUGAAUGAAGGAUGGAGAAUUGGAAAAUCAUAUGCUAAUCCUUUAAAUUCCAGUUACUUUUAUGCUUAAUUUAUACUCAGAACUACCCAGGGAUUAAUA